UACGGAGGGUGCAAAGCGUUUAUCCCGGAUUCACUGGGUUUAAAGGGUGCGUAGGUGGCUUUGUAAGUCAGUGGUGAAAUCCCGGAGCUCAACUCCGGAACUGCCAUUGAUACUGCUUAGCUUGAAUUAGGUUGAGGUGGAUGGAAUAAUACAUGUAGCGGUGAAAUGCUUAGAUAUGUAUUAGAACACCAAAUUGCGAA
rnacentral:rRNA from 1 species